UACGUAGGGGGCUAGCGUUGUCCGGAAUCAUUGGGCGUAAAGAGCGUGUAGGCGGCCCGGUAAGUCCGCUGUGAAAGUCGGGGGCUCAACCCUCGGAUGCCGGUGGAUACUGUCGGGCUCGAGUACGGAAGAGGCGAGUGGAAUUCCUGGUGUAGCGGUGAAAUGCGCAGAGAUCGGGAGGAACACCAGAGGCGAAGGCGGCGACCUGGACAAGUACUGACACUCAACUACGAAAGCGUGGGUAGCAAACAGG
rnacentral:rRNA from 1 species